rnacentral:lncRNA from 1 species
CAUCAAUUUACUACGUGCUGUCAUUCCUUCUGUGGACUUCAAUGUUCUAAACUUUUUCUGUAUUCACCUUAUUCUGUUCAUUGGUGGCUACAUUGACUUCCUCUGCAUGGCCAUUGUGAAGCUCUGGGAGAGGCUGCUGGCCAUGUGCUUUGCAUGAUUUAUGCUCACCUUCCUUCCUCUUCAAUUCCAAAUCAGAGUAGAGUUAUUUUGGGGAUCUCAUAACGCAAGUAGUUCACAUAACAGAAGUAUGAUACCCAAGAUAUCUGCAUCUGAAAUUUCCUAUAGCC